rnacentral:rRNA from 1 species
GACGAACGCUGGCGGCGUGCUUAACACAUGCAAGUCGAACGGAAAGGCCCUGCUUUUGUGGGGUGCUCGAGUGGCGAACGGGUGAGUAACACGUGAGUAACCUGCCCUUGACUUUGGGAUAACUUCAGGAAACUGGGGCUAAUACCGGAUAGGAGCUCCUGCUGCAUGGUGGGGGUUAGAAAGUUUCGGCGGUUGGGGAUGGACUCGCGGCUUAUCAGCUUGUUGGUGGGGUAGUGGCUUACCAAGGCUUUGACGGGUAGCCGGCCUGAGAGGGUGACCGGCCACAUUGGGACUGAGAUACGGCCCAGACUCCUACGGGACGCAGCAGUGGGGAAUAUUGCACAAUGGGCGGAAGCCUGAUGCAGCAACGCCGCGUGCGGGAUGACGGCCUUCGGGUUGUAAACCGCUUUCGCCUGUGACGAAGCGUGAGUGACGGUAAUGGGUAAAGAAGCACCGGCUAACUACGUG